rnacentral:rRNA from 1 species
AGAAACUAACAAGGAUUCCCCUAGUAACUGCGAGUGAAGCGGGAAAAGCUCAAAUUUAAAAUCUGGUAGUCUUUGGCUGCCCGAGUUGUAAUCUAGAGAAGCAUUAUCCGCGCUGGACCGUGUACAAGUGUCCUGGAAUGGACUAUCAUAGAGGGUGAGAAUCCCGUCUUUGACACGGACUCCCAGGGCUUUGUGAUGUGCUCUCAAAGAGUCGAGUUGUUUGGGAAUGCAGCUCUAAAUGGGUGGUAAAUUCCAUCUAAAGCUAAAUAUUGGCGAGAGACCGAUAGCGAACAAGUACCGUGAGGGAAAGAUGAAAAGAACUUUGGAAAGAGAGUUAAACAGUACGUGAAAUUGCUGAAAGGGAAACGCUUGAAGUCAGUCGCGUCGGCUGGGGAUCAACCUUGCUUCUUGCUUGGCUUACUUCCCAGUUGACGGGUCAGCAUCAGUUUUGACCAGUGGAUAAAGGUYAAGGGAAUGUGGCACCUCCGGGUGUGUUAUAGCCCUUGGUCAUAUACAUUGGUUGGGACUGA